CCGAGUUUACAACUCCCAAACCCAAUGUGAACGUUACCAAACUGUUGCCUCGGCGGGAUCUCUGCCCCGGGUGCGUCGCAGCCCCGGACCAAGGCGCCCGCCGGAGGACCAACCAAAACUCUUGAUUUAACGGUCUCUCUGAGUAAUAACCAAAUAAGUUA
rnacentral:misc_RNA from 1 species